AAUAAUGACAGAACAACAGUAGGGUUAGAAAGGGAAGUGACGGGUAUAGGUGGUUGUAAGUCAUUAGGAAGUUCAAUGAUCAAAAUAAUGAUUAUAGGUAAGGGUGGAGUUUGUAUUGGAAGGAUCUAGUAGUGAGAGAUAUCUUUCAGAAUAUAGUAAAAGUUAGGGGCACGAUAUGAAUGAUGAUAGGUAUAAAAUAUAGAUCGAGUAUAAGCAAAGUUAAUAAAUUAUAAAAUGUUUUUUCAGGUAGGAGGGUGGUACAAUAGAUGGCUGGUGCAACUGAUACCUUAUGGGUAGAGCACAAUUUUUGCAAUGAGAUUAUAAAAUUUGAAGAAAAAGACCAAGAGACAUGGG
rnacentral:misc_RNA from 1 species